AAAAGAACAGAGAAUCUUCCUUUGCUUUCAGAUGAAACUACAACCCAAUCGCAGAGUAAGUUAGAAGUUAGGUAAUUGGGAAUUAUUUCUUCUGCAUAAGGCUGACAUCAUUUACCCCUAUCUAAUAACUUCGGUUUGGUGGAAGGGAAGGAAGAAGGAAUGAUGGAAGAAAAAGGGGUUGGGAUACAUGAAAACUCACAACAGUACUAUACCUUUUUCAGGUCUCAGUGAAGGAGUUUGGGUGUUUCUCAUGAAGUGCCACCGAUCCCUAUGAGAAAUAUGUUUGUAGUGCUCCACGCCUGCUUGGAGAGUCCAAGAACUGCUAAAAACUGAUGGAGCAAAAUACAAGAUAAGAUAUAAACACUGAAGAAGGGUGUAUCCUGAAACUUCAGAUUAAGGCCCUUGUCCAAGACAACAGGAAAUUUUCAGGUCACGUGUUCCUUUCCAGAGAGUUGUUUUGUGGAUACAAUGGCAUUCACAAGAUUUAGAGGACUUCCGCAUAAUUUUAUUUUCACAUACCAACAAUCACUUACGAGAGCCCUCAGCAUGGGGCAUGGGUCUGACUGCUGAAAGAAGUGUCCAUGCAAAUCUCAUUCUCUAUUUUCUGUAAUCACCACCUGAAAUACGUAAGUAAAACACACAGUCUAAUGUACCUUAAUGUUCAUCCUCAUACUUUAAAAUAAGCAUUAUUUCUUGGUGACUAUACUUGAGAAGUUUUCUAUUUAAACUGCGUAUACAUAUGAUACCAAUUUUUUUAAA
rnacentral:lncRNA from 1 species